rnacentral:rRNA from 1 species
AUGGAUGAGCUCCGGCUGAUCCAGUUUGGGCAUCGAGCAGCCAUGAUUGAGCUCCGGCGCCGUCGGCUUGAGCAUCAGGCACGCAUCAGAGAGAGAUGGGAGAGAUUGGGGAAGGCACCAACCUCAGAGAGAGAUGGGAGAGAUAGGAGAGGGCACUGCCGGCAGCGGAGCUCACGGGCGAGGGACAUGGACCGCACCUCCAUGCUCACCGUCGGUGGAUUUGCCUCGUUGAUGCGCAGCUCCGGCCGGAGCUCAUCCAUGGCCGCCGUUGUCGCGCCUCCUCUUCACGCCUACGCGGGCCGCCGUCGCGCGUCCUCUUCUCCUCGCCGGAGCCGAUGCAGGUGA